UACGUAGGUGGCAAGCGUUGUCCGGAAUCACUGGGCGUAAAGGGCGCGUAGGCGGAUCUUUAAGUCAGAUGUGAAAUCUCCAGGCUCAACCUGGAAGUUGCAUUUGAAACUGGAGAUCUUGAGUGCAGGAGAGGGUAGUGGAAUUCCUAGUGUAGCGGUGAAAUGCGUAGAGAUUAGGAGGAACACCAGUGGCGAAGGCGGCUACCUGGACUGUAACUGACGCUGAGGCGCGAAAGCGUGGGGAGCAAACAGG
rnacentral:rRNA from 1 species